UACGUAGGGGGCAAGCGUUGUCCGGAUUUAUUGGGCGUAAAGAGCGUGUAGGCGGUUUUACAGGUCCGAUGUGAAAACUCGAGGCUCAACCUCGAGCUGUCGGUGGAAACCGUAAGGCUAGAGUCCGGAAGAGGAGAGUGGAAUUCCUGGUGUAGCGGUGAAAUGCGCAGAUAUCAGGAAGAACACCCGUGGCGAAGGCGGCUCUCUGGGACGGUACUGACGCUGAGACGCGAAAGCGUGGGGAGCGAACAGG
rnacentral:rRNA from 1 species